GUGCAGCAGGCGCGAAACCUUCGCAAUGCGGGAAACCGCGACGAGGGGACUCCCAGUGCCUACGCUCAGCGUAGGCUGUUCCCGAGCCUAGAAAGCUCGGGGAGUAAGGGCUGGGUAAGACGGGUGCCAGCCGCCGCGGUAAUACCCGCAGCCCGAGUGGUGGCCACUAUUAUUGGGCCUAAAGCGUCCGUAGCCGGCCCGGUAAAUGCCUGGGUAAAUCGUGAGGCCUAACCUCACGAAUUCCGGGUAGACUGCCGGGCUAGGGACCGGAGGAGGGAGA
rnacentral:rRNA from 1 species